AUGAAUUUCUGCAUGACUUGUGCUACAAACUAUGAUGAGGACAUCAAUACCAUUGUUACACCACAACCCCUGCUGCUAUACAUACUGGACCAAUUACUAGAGCUCGCACGCCAAUUGAAUUACCAGGUACUUUCGUUUCUUGGUAACGAUUCUAAUGUUCAUGAGAAUAUGAUGCUGCCCAAAUUGGAUACAUUUGUUUUGCUUACAAAUGAAGGGCCUAGCCUGGACAAGAAAGAUGAACCUUGGAGCAAGUUCAAGCAUGGAGAUGAUGGCAUGCACAAGGGGAACAAGAACAGAGUUAUAAGUGACGAUUCCAGGACUUUAAAGCCACCAUAA
rnacentral:rRNA from 1 species